GUCAAUAACUUUAUCCAGUAUCAUUGGCUGUCUAAAUAAAUUUUCUACAUUUUUAUAGUCUCAUUAAUCUGGUAGAAUAAUGGCUUACUUGGACGACUUAAGUUCCGCUUUUGAGCUAUACAAUAGUAUCUAGGUGUUCAUUGGCACUACUGUUAUCCACACAUUU
rnacentral:snoRNA from 1 species